AUGCGCGAACGCUCCUCUCUGAGGAGAGGUGCGAGGGCGGCGGCCGCGGCGCCGGGGGUCGGUCGCCGUUCCCGUAUUUGAGGGGCUCGGGCCGGGGCCGCUCUCCCCUCAUCGCCGGUACGUAGUGUGGCUAAGCCCCUUGUGCUGGCGGUGCCCGCAGAGCCAUCGGUCACCAGCUUGCCCAGAACCACCAGUGUCAUGAAGAACUGCUUCCAUCUAGGGGGAUAAGGAAAGGAAACAUCAGGAUUUAAGAGGAGAGAUCUGCUGAGUAAAGGAUUUUUGGAUCACUCGUUGUGGCACAGGAGAAAUAACUUCUGAGGGCAAGAGGUGCAAUUCUGGAUAUCUCUGUAUUUAUAAAUCCUGGCGACAGAGGGGUCUGAAAUAUUCAUGGUCUGAGAAGCUGGGAACUGGAACCAGGUUUCCUUUUGGAUCCAACUGAUUUACUAUGGAUUCGGUGAGUUUUUUAAACAUCCUGC